rnacentral:sRNA from 1 species
CUUGUUGAGGACUAAUAAAAUGUAUAUGAGCAUCGAUACCACCGGCAGUUAAUAUCCGUCCCUCGCCUGCGAUUGCCUCAGUGCCAGGUCCAAUAAUAAUAUCUAUAUCCGAUUGGAUGUCCGGAUUACCAGCUUUACCAAUCGAGUGAAUACGACCAUCUUUAAUACCAACAUCUGCCUUUAUAAUUCCGGUGUAAUCAACAAUUAAAGCAUUUGUAAUUACCGUGUCUACUGCACCUCUCUCCCUAGUGAUUUGAGACUGACCCAUUCCAUCGCG